UACGGAAGGGGCUAGCGUUGUUCGGAAUUACUGGGCGUAAAGAGAGCGUAGGCGGCUUACCAAGUUGGGGGUGAAAUCCCGGAGCUCAACUCCGGAACUGCCUUCAAAACUGGUAGGCUCGAGUCCGGAAGAGGGACGUGGAAUUCCCAGUGUAGAGGUGAAAUUCGUAGAUAUUGGGAAGAACACCGGUGGCGAAGGCGGCGCCCUGGUCCGGUACUGACGCUGAGGCGCGAAAGCGUGGGGAGCAAACAGU
rnacentral:rRNA from 1 species